rnacentral:misc_RNA from 1 species
AUGAGGCGGCAGUCAAUGAUGCUGGCCGCGAUAUUACUGGCUGCCAUUUUGGGCAGCGCAACGGCAACGAACAAUUCCCCGCCACGGAUAAGCAAACAGCCGCCCACAGAUGAGCUGCUCUUCAAGGUGGCGCAACAGAACAAGGAGAGCGACAAGCCAUUCAUUAUUGAGUGCGAGGCCGAUGGACAACCCGAACCGGAAUAUAGAUGGAUCAAGAACGGGAAACCGUUUGACUGGCAGGCAUACGAUAAUCGUAUGUCCCGGCAGCCCGGACGCGGCUCAUUGGUGAUCACAUCGCCCAAGGAUGAGGAUCUGGGACAGUAUCAGUGCUUUGCCAGCAACGAGUUUGGUGUUGCCACAUCGAAUUCGGUGUUUGUGCGCAAGGCGGAGCUGAAUGCAUUCAAGGACGAGGUGGCACGCAGCGUUGAGGCCAACGAGGGUGAUCCCUUCUCACUGCAGUGCGAGGCGCCCGACGGCUGGCCAAAGCCAACGGUUAACUGGCUGAUCCAACAGAGCAUCGGAUCGGGCAUCAAAUCGAUCAACAAUUCACGCAUGACCCUCGAUCCGGAGGGCACGCUCUGGUUCUCAAAUGUGACGCGCGAGGAUGCCAGCGAUGAUUUCUACUACGCCUGCUCGGCGACCUCGGUGUUCCGCAACGAAUACAAGAUCGGCAACAAGAUACUCCUCGACGUCAAGCAGAUGGGCGUGAGCGCCUCCCAGAAUCGACAUCCGCCCAAGCGUCAGUACGUGACCCGUAAGAAUGAGGUGGCGCUGCGCGGCAAACGAGUGGAACUGUAUUGCAUCUAUGGCGGGACACCGUUACCACAGACGGUGUGGUAUAAGGACGGGCAGCGGGUGCAGUGGAGCGAUCACAUUACGCAAGGCAAUUAUGGUAAAUCGCUGGUGAUCAGGCAAGCGAAUCUCAACGAUGCAGGCACCUACAACUGCGACGUGUCCAACGGUGUGGGCAACGCCCAAUCCUAUUCGAUCAAUUUGAAAAUCCAUGCGAUACCCUAUUUCACCGAGGAGCCGGAAAUACAAAAUGCCGCCGAGGAUGAGGAGGUCGUUUUCAAUUGCAAGGCCGCUGGACAUCCGGAGCCAACGAUCCAAUGGAUACACAAUGGCAAACCGAUUGCACAGAGCGAACCGAAUCCGCGACGCACAGUUACCAAUAGUUACAUCAAGAUUGUGAAUCUGGUUAAGAAAGAUACGGGAAAUUAUGGGUGCAACGCCACCAAUUCUCUGGGCUAUGUCUACAAGGAUGUGUAUCUAAAUGUGCAGGCCCUGCCGCCAGAGAUUCAGGAGCCGCCCCGUGCCGAGUUUUCCGUCAACGGACGCAACAUCACAAUGAAAUGUCGCGUCUUUGGCGCACCCAAGCCGCAGGUGAAAUGGCGCCAGAACAACAACUGGCUGACCGGCGGACGUUAUACGGUGCUCGCCUCGGGCGAUCUCGAGAUCAAGGAUGUGGCUUUUGCCGACAAUGGUAACUACACCUGCCUGGCGGUCAACAAGUUUGGCAAUGCCACCGCCCAGGGUUCCCUGGUGGUUAGGGAGCGCACCCGGAUCACACAGGAGCCGCAGAACUAUGAGGUCGCUGCUGGCCAAUCGGCGACAUUCCGUUGCAAUGAGGCGCAUGAUCCCAAUCUGAAUCUGACGAUCGAGUGGCUCAAGGAUGGCCAGAACAUCGACUUUGAUGCGGAGGCGCGUUUCGUCAAGACCAAUGACAAUUCACUGACAAUUGCCAAGACCAUGGAGCUGGAUUCGGGCGAAUAUACGUGCGUGGCCAGAACUGAACUGGACGAGGCCACAGCGAGAGCCAAUCUAAUUGUUCAGGAUGUGCCCAAUGCCCCCAAAUUGAUCGGCAUCACAUGCCAGGACGACAAGGCGGAGAUCUCCUGGGAACCGCAGGGUGACAAUCGCUCCCCCAUUCUCCACUAUACGAUCCAGUACAACACCUCGUUCACGCCCGCCUCCUGGGAUCGGGCGUUCGACAAGGUGCCCAGCACGGAUUUCUCAUUUGUUGUGCAGAUGUCGCCAUGGGCCAAUUACACAUACCGUGUGAUUGCAUUUAACAAAAUUGGCCAAUCGCCGCCGUCCGGUCACAGUGACGCGUGCACCACACAACCGAAUGUGCCAUUUAAGAAUCCCGAGAAUGUUGUCGGCCAGGGCACGGAGCCAAACAAUUUGGUCAUCGAAUGGACACCGAUGCCGGAAAUUGAGCACAACGCACCCAAUUUCCAGUAUCGCGUUAGCUGGAAACGUGACAUACCCGCUGCCGCCUGGGAGAACAAGGAUAUCUACGAUUGGCGUCAGAGUAAUCUAUUGAUCGCCGAUCAGCCGACAUUCGUCAAGUAUCACAUCAAGGUGGUCGCCAUCAAUGAGCGCGGUGAAUCGAAUGUUGCCGCCGAGGAGGUAAUUGGUUACUCGGGUGAGGAUCGUCCCCUCGAGGCGCCGACCAACUUUAGCAUGCAGCACGUGACCAGUGCCACCAAUGCCUAUCUCGGAUGGAAUCCGGUCAGCGAGGAGUCUGUACGCGGCCAUUUCAAGGGCUACAAGAUCCAGACUUGGACAGACAAGGAGGGCGAAGAGGGCUUGCGGGAGAUUCAUACGAUCCAUAGCAAAGCGCUCGUCACACAAUUCAAGCCAGACUCCAAGAAUUAUGCCCGCGUUCUGGUCUACAACGGACGCUUCAAUGGACCGCCCAGCGCUGUGAUUGACUUUGAUACCCCCGAGGGUGUGCCGUCAGCGGUGCAAAGCUUGGAGGCAUAUCCGCUUGGAUCCUCCGCCUUCUGGCUGACCUGGAAGAAACCGCUCAAUCCCAAUGGCAAGCUAACCGGCUACAAGAUCUAUUAUGAAGUUGUCCGCGGCAGCUUUGUCGACGAGCGACGCGAAUACGAUCCCCAUAUCACCGAUCCACGCAUCACACGCAUGAAAAUGGCCGGCCUGAAACCGAACACCAAAUAUCGCAUCUCCAUUACCGCCACCACCAAAAUGGGCGAGGGUGCCGAGCAUUACAUUGAGAAGAGCACACUGGGCGAGGACAUUGCGCCCCCGUCCACGCCCUCUUUGACAUGGGAACAACUGUCGGCGCCAAAUGGUAUGCCCAGAUAUCGUAUUAAUUGGGUGCCCAGCACUGAUGGACGUUCAGGCUCACACUUUUUCACCAAGUACAGAAUCAAGGGUGAAACGGAAUGGAAGAAUGAGCACCCCGAGAAGUCAGUUGAUUAUCAGGAGAUUGGCAGCCUGGAUCCGGAUACCGUUUAUGAGUUCCGCGUUGUAUCCGUCGAUGGGCACUAUUACACGGAGAGCGCCACCAGCGAGAUUGAUACGAACAGCAUCGAGGGACCAAUAAUGGUGCGAAAUGAGAGUCUGGCGAACGCUGGUUGGUUCAUUGGCAUGAUGCUGGCUCUAGCCUUCAUCAUCAUCCUGUUUAUCAUCAUUUGCAUCAUACGGCGUAAUCGCGGUGGCAAAUACGAUGUGCACGAUCGAGAGUUGGCCAAUGGCCGGCGGGAUUACCCGGAUGAGGGCGGUUUCCACGAGUACUCGCAACCUUUGGACAACAAGAGCGCUGGUCGCCAAUCCGUUAGUUCAGCGAAUAAGCCUGGCGUGGAGAGCGAUACCGAUUCGAUGGCCGAAUAUGGCGAUGGCGAUACAGCUGUGACCACAGCCGCCGGCCAUGCCGCCACCGCUGCGCGCAAGGUUGGCAUUAAGCAGCCAUCGACUUCGCCUCAGUUUCAGUCUCAGCCUGGCCAGCUGCAGCCGUUGCCGCCGCCAUACGACUCCAACACCAUGAGCCAACAAUUUCACAAAGCCUAGUCCCCCCUAUCCCCCCACAUAAUUAUCUUUCUAAUAUUUCUGUUGAUGCACGCACACACAUACAUACACACACACACACACACACACUGAUACACAAGCGCACCAUCUAAUUGUUGUCGUUGGCGGCAACGGUGGCAGCAUUGACGUCAUCUUUCUUCAACCAUUUCGUCCAGGCAUAAACGAAGAUGGUUCCUUUAUUGGCCAAUAUGGACGCAAAGGACUUUGAUUUAAUUUG